CGGGGUGUGGCGCAGUCCGGUUAGCGCACUUGGUUUGGGACCAAGGGGCCGCAGGUUCAAAUCCUGCCACCCCGA
rnacentral:tRNA from 1 species